UUUUGCAUYAUGCUUCGCUGAAAUCUAACAUAUUGUUUUUUACCGAAAAAAGCCGAUUUUUGUUUUAAUUGUAUUAGUACUUACUGGACGAGUAGUCUUAUUAAAUUAUUAUAACGUGGUGAAAAAUUAAUCGUGGCUUUUUAUAGCUGUUAAUUAUCUAAUAUAUCAAUUUAGUUUUAAGGCAGUGAGGUCUUAUAACAUAAUAUAUAUGAAUUAAUCUAAUGGGCAGGAUAGGGUUAAAAUUACCUCUUUUUAUAGAUCUUGUUAAAAAUCUGUGAAUAAAUAAUGAGUAUAUUAUAGUAUAAAGGUAAUUUUAUUUAACUUUACGUUACAUAAAUGGCGUAAUUAGUAACAAUAUAAAUAGUAUUAUUUCUAAAGCGUAUCCCGUCUGUUUAUUAAAAACAUUUCUAUAACUUAUUAUUUAUAGUAAGACCUGCCCGAUGUAUGUGAAAUCAAUGGCCGCAGUAUCUUGACUGUGCGAAGGUAGCAUAAUUAAUUGCCCUUUAAUUGGGGGCUUGUUUGAAUGGUUCGACGAGGAUAUAGUUAAUAUUACUUUUGUUUUUGAAAUUAAUAUUGAGGGUACAGAAUCCUCUUUUGUUAAUAAGACGGAAAGACCCCGGGAUCUUUUAUUUUGCCUGGGGCAGGUAUUUUUAUUUCAAAAUUUUAUUAUGACCCUAUUGAGUUUAAUGAUUUAAGUUACCCCGGGGAUAACAGUGUUAUAAUUUAAUAGAGAUCCUAUCGAUUAAAUUGAUUGCCACCUCGAUGUUGACUUGGGUUUAUAAUAUGGUGCAGUAGCUUUAUUAUGUGGUCUGUUCGACCUUUGUUGCCCCCA
rnacentral:rRNA from 1 species